ensembl:lncRNA
AUGAGACUUUUUACUUUAAAAAUUUUGUUACACUUUUACUUUUCCUUACUUUCCACUAUUAGGCCAUCAGGUGGUUGGGGAAUUUCUAUGCUAUUAGUCUGUCAUGAAAUAAUUGUGGUUCUUAUUCGCCUACCUCGCCCCCCAAGAGAAUCAAUAACAUCACAGGAUAUCAUAUCACAGGCAAGACAAAACUGACGAUGACUUGGGAUGGUCUGAUAAUGAUGAUCUUGGCAUCUUUGAUGUCUGACCAGGCUCUAAGCCCUCCACACUACCUGCUUCAGCUGCCUUCCUGACUGCUGGAACAAAUUGUUCUCAUCUACCCAUUCACCAGGAGAAAUCUUCACCUGCUUGGGACAGGUAUCUCUUACCUCACCAGUGGGUUUGGGGCAUGUCAGUGACCCUUCAUGUGGUUUGGCCUGUCUGUUGAGAUAGUUAUACUGGGGCGUGGCCACUGCACAUGCUAUAGUGUUUUACUGGAAUUGAGUAAGGAUUGAGAUGGUCAGAAUUUUGCAUUAGAAAAGCCACUUUGAAAAAAAAAAGAAAGAAAAGAAAACCAGUUUGGGUUGCUAGGAAGCAUUGGAAUAAGGAGAGAUCUGAUGCAGGAAGAUCAAUUAGAAAGAAAUGGUGAGGUCCUGCACUAAAGCUGUGGGUUGGGAAAAAAGAAAAAAAAAAAGCAUGUAUGAAAAUAAUGCUGUAGAAAUAGAAAUGACAAGAAUUGGCAACUGAUUACAUAUGUGAGAUAAUUUAGAGGAAAGAGUUGAAGAUGAUCCUGUUGACCUGCCUUGAUAAAAGGAAUUUGCUCACCUUGGAGUUCUCAGUCUAAUGACAUCGCAGGUCCAGUCCCUCUCUUUAUCCCUAUUAUGAUGGCAAACAGUUGAAUCUUCCCUUCCAUUGCCCCUGAUCUACACAACAGAUGGUUCACUUCAAAUAGCCUAAAGUCUUACAAAUUAUGGGGUGCUCACUUUUUUUGACUCCAUUACAUAAGCAAGAAAAACAAUGCCAGCAGAUAGACUUUGCUAGUGUAGAAAAAUCUUAUUUAUAAUAGUAUUAGAAAUUUAGAUUAUGAAAAGUAAAAAGCCCCAAGGAAGUUAACUGGAAAGAUUAUACAGAGGAACCAGGAGGCCAAGGAAGUAAUAGUAGAAAAUACCUUCAAUCUAGAAUGAGAAGACAUGGGGUCUAGUCCAGACUCUGCUACCUCUUAACUAGUUCUGUGUCCUUAGAAAGUCUCAUGAUUCUCUGAGCUUCAGAGAUUGUAAAUUGUAUAUUUACAAUAGAGAAUCUGUUGUAUAUAUAGUGUUCUUUUGAAGACCAGUUAUACGUACUGGGGCAGCUAGGUGAUAUAACAGAUACAGUACCAGACCUAUAGUCAAGAAGACCUGAGUUCAAAUUUGGCCUCAGAUACUAGUAUCUGUGUGACCCUGGGCAAGUCACUUAAUCCUUUUCCCCUUAGUUUCUUCAUAUGCAAAAUGAUCCAAAAAAAAAAAAAAAUGGCAAAUUAUUCCAGUAUCUUUGCCAAGAAAAUCCCAGGUGGGGUCAAGAAGAUUUGAACAUGACUGCAGAAUGACUCAACAAUAAUACAGUUAUAUACAUGCUAUAUAAUUGAAAAACACUGUAUUUUAAGUAUAAUUUUUUGCCACAUCAAUGGAAACAAAGUAGCAGAUAUAACUUAGAGCCAAUAACAAAUUGAU